rnacentral:rRNA from 1 species
AGGGUUCGAUUCUGGCUCAGGACGAACGCUGGCGGCGUGCUUGAUACAUGCAAGUCAAGGAGAACAUUUCCUUCGGGAAUAUUAUUAAACUGGCGAACGGGUGAGUAACACGUAGGCAACCUACCCUAGAGAUUGGGAUAACUCCGGGAAACCGGAGCUAAUACCGAAUAAUGCAGCGGAUCCUUCGGGAUAUUGUUGUUAAAGCGGGCUUCGGCUCGCACUUUUGGAUGGGCCUGCGCCCGAUUAGCUUGUUGGUAAGGUAACGGCUUACCAAGGCCAUAAUCGGUAGCUGGUCUGAGAGGAUGAUCAGCCACACUGGGAUUGAGAUACGGCCCAGACUUCUACGGAAGGCAGCAGUAAGGAAUUUUGCGCAAUGGACGAAAGUCUGACGCAGCAACGCCGCGUGAUCGAUGAAGCUUCUAGGAGUGUAAAGAUCUGUCGUAAGGGAAGAAAAACCUGGAUGUAAAUAAUGUUCAGAUUUGACGGUACCUUUCAAGAAAGCACCGGCUAACUUCGUGCCAGCA